ACCCGACCCGUUAUAUGAAAACCCAAAAACUUGAAAACCCUAAUGAUGUAUGUACCCAAUUUGAGACCCGUAACCCUGAGAGCUCUCUUCCCUCCUCCGCCGGCGGCGCUUUGGUUGGUUAGGGUUUGAUUUUUUGUUGAAAUUGAUUUCAAUUUAGUUCACAUAUCGUUUUGAUAUUUUUUCAAUUGAUUUUUGUUAUUGAUCACACAUUGGGUAUCAUGGAUUAAGGUAUGUUCUUUAAUUUAUUAUUCACGAGUCACAUUUUAUUGCCCGUAGACCCAAUGUAGUUUGGUUUUAGCAGGUAGACCCUCGGAGUGAAAUUUCUUUUCGCUCUUUUUCUCCGAGGAAGAAAAAAUUGUUUUUUUUUUUGGCAAAUACAACCCCCCUAAGAGAAAAGAGUCAAAAAAAAAUUCUCACUCAAGUGGUCUAUCUGCUAAAAUCAAGCUAUGGGUGUAAUAAAAUUCCAAAACGCGAUAUUAUUAUUAUUCAUUUAUAAAUGGUUGCUGAAAUUACGUAGUUAAUCUAGUUAAUUUUUGAUGAUAACUGUCAAUAUUUUCUGAAUCCACAAAGUUUUUUUUUAAAUCAUGCAUGUUGUGUUAUAUGCAAGUAGCUUACUCCUUUGUCGAUCUUCUUCUUCUUAUUUUUUUUCGGCUAAUGGGUAUGGAGGGUGGUUCUCUAUUCAUUUACGUAUAUUCGAGGGGCUUAUGUAUUUUUUUUUAAUUUCUAGCAUGUGACUCAUUACUGGUGAUGAUGAUAAAAAGGCCGAACUGACAGCUACCCUGAAUUACUUCUGUAGUUUCUGUUGGUGGUAGAAAGAUGCAGCUUGCUGUUAAGGCUUUCAGGCUACUUGUUCCAGUUGCAAGGGUUGGGCAGAUCGUAUAGUGGUUAUGUUAUAUUGCGUAACUUUGCCAGUGUUACCCUUGAGUACCCUUGAGUUUUUCAAGAGUUGACGAGAUCUGGUCAAAUAUUUCACAGUUUUUUAUUUAACCUUUAAAAUAGAUAUAUUGCUGUGUUUGUUGAAUAUCCUACUUUUUCCUUUAAUUUUACUGAUAGUUGUAUCUUAUUUUAUUUAGUUUUGUUUGUUCUUCUCAACACUAUUUUCUUCAUCCAAACAUAUCAAUUUUUAAAUAAUGGAAUUUAAUAGCUACUGCAUCAUAUUUUGUACAAAUAUCACAAAUGGCUUUCAUAACGUAGAGUCAGUAAAAGGCAUAAUCCUCAAGAAAGACUUGUUUCUUUGUACCUCUGUUUCUGUGUGUACGGUUUACAAACAGAAAAUGCUUUCUUUUUUUCUUGAUUUCUCUUGUUAUCAUGUACAAGAAACUAAUUCCCCCUUUGUGCUGUUUAUUUCUUUAUUUAUUGAGAUACACUAUGCUAUAUAAUUGGAAAGUCAUUCGAUAUGAUCUAGGUUAUGUGCUUGAGGCAGAAGAUUAAUAAGGUUAUAUCUUUGUUUGUUUGUUUGUGGGCACUGUUAGCUUUCUUGCUCACUCUUAUGUUACCCAAGUAAUUGGAGAGGAGAGCAGUUUAAUUUCUUGGUCAUUUCUCUUUUUGUUCCUUUUCUUUCGAGUGGAUUAGGGAUUAGUUAAUGGAUGUGGGAUUUGUUACUGGUGAUGAUGGCAUAAAGACCAAACUUAUGCCUCGUUUAGUACGUGGGAAUCGGAUCAAGUUAGGAUGGAAUGGAGCAAGGAACGAAAUGGAAUGAAUCCUCAUUUUCAUUCUCAUUCUCAUGAUUGGGUGCAUUUAGAGAAUGAAGUGAGAAUGAAAAUCUUUUCAUUUUUGGUGUGGAUAAUUAAUAAGUAAUUUGAGAAUAUUUAGUAUGAAUUUAAUAUUUCCAUUCCCACUUAAGUGAGAAGCAUUUCAUACCAAUUCAUUGGACAUGCCCAUUCCCACGAAAUGUAAAAAAAGUGGAGUGGACAUUCUAGCUUCCAAAAGUAUGGUGUGCUUGGUGUGCAUGAAUGAAAUGUGGGAAUAAGCAUUCCAUUUCUUCUCAUUCCUGUGUACCAAAUGAGGCCUUAUAGCUAUCCUGAAAUUUUAUUCAUUUUGGCUAUUUUGCAUAUAUACCCCCUUAACUCAUUUGCUGAUUUACCUCAAAUCUAUAUAUUUGCUAAUUUAUCUCCUAAAUCUCCCAUGUAAUAUGAAAAAAGUCUACUGUUUCAGUUGGCGGUAGAAUGAUGUGGCUGGCUAUAAAGGUUAAUAUCUGAACCAAUUGUGGCCAGAGGCUGUGGUUGACUUGUCUCCUUGUUUUGUUGCAAUGUUCGGUGGGAAACAAGAAUUUAAAAUAUGAUGGAUGCUUUGUUAUUGUUCUUAAUAUAAACUUGUUCAACCAAGUUGGUUCAGAUUGCUAGUGUUGUGCAGAAAAGUCGUACACUUCAUUUUCUCUUAUUAUCAUGUAUAGGUGUCAGGUGAAAUGAAUCUUGUGUUGUAUUUUUAAUACUAUCAAUUUGAUUGCCUUCACUUGUAAACUAUUACAUCUUACUUUUGUUUUUAAGCUGUGAAAUAUUCUGACAUGUUUCAGAUUCGAGUU